UACGUAGGUGGCGAGCGUUGUCCGGAUUUACUGGGCGUAAAGAGCGCGCAGGCGGUUCGUUCAAGUCGAGUGUGAAAGCCCCCGGCUCAACUGGGGAGGGUCAUUCGAUACUGAUCGACUCGAAGGCAGGAGAGGGUAGUGGAAUUCCCGGUGUAGUGGUGAAAUGCGUAGAUAUCGGGAGGAACACCAGUGGCGAAGGCGACUACCUGGCCUGUUCUUGACGCUGAGGCGCGAAAGCUAGGGGAGCAAACGGG
rnacentral:rRNA from 1 species